rnacentral:rRNA from 1 species
CCUACGGGAGGCAGCAGUCGAGAAUCAUUCACAAUGGGGGAAACCCUGAUGGUGCGACGCCGCGUGGGUGAAUGAAGGUCUUCGGAUUGUAAACCCCUGUCAUGUGGGAGCAAAUUAGAAAGAUAGUACCACAAGAGGAAGAGACGGCUAACUCUGUGCCAGCCGCCGCGGUAAUACACAGGUCUCAAGCGUUGUUCGGAAUCACUGGGCGUAACGCGUGCGUAGGCGGUUUCGUAAGUCGUGUGUGAAAGGCGCGGGCUCAACCCGAGGACGGCACAUGAUACUGCGAGACUAGAGUAAUGGAGGGGGAACCGGAAUUCCCGGUGUAGCAGUGAAAUGCGUAGAUAUCGAGAGGAACACUCGUGGCGAAGGCGGGUUCCUGGACAUUAACUGACGCUGAGGCACGAAGGCCAGGGGAGCGAAAGGGAUUAGAUACCCGAGUAGUC